UAGGGCUUCACACGUCAUACGAAUGGUCGGUACAGAGGGUUGCCAAGCCGCGAGGUGGAGCCAAUCCCUUAAAAGCCGAUCGUAGUCCGGAUCGUAGUCUGCAACUCGACUACGUGAAGUCGGAAUCGCUAGUAAUCGCAGAUCAGCAUGCUGCGGUGAAUACGUUCCCGGGUCUU
rnacentral:rRNA from 1 species